GCCGCGGGAAAACUGGUCUCUGCUUCGGGCCGGAGGACGCGCGCGCGCUCGCGGGUCGUUCAAGUGUCGGACCUUGUGAACAGGGCUGGCAUGAGCCUCUGGGUGGACAAAUAUCGGCCCUGCUCCUUGGGACAGCUUGAUUAUCACAAGGAGCAGGCGGCUCAGCUGCGCAACCUGGUGCAAUGUGGUGACUUUCCUCAUCUGCUAGUGUAUGGACCAUCAGGUGCUGGAAAAAAGACAAGAAUUAUGUGUAUUCUACGUGAACUUUAUGGUGUUGGCGUGGAAAAGUUGAGAAUUGAGCAUCAGACCAUCACAACUCCAUCUAAAAAGAAAAUUGAAAUUAGCACUAUUGCAAGCAAUUACCAUCUUGAAGUUAAUCCCAGUGAUGCUGGAAAUAGUGACCGGGUGGUAAUUCAGGAGAUGUUGAAAACAGUGGCACAAUCACAGCAACUCGAAACAAACUCUCAAAAAGAUUUUAAAGUGGUGUUACUGACGGAGGUUGACAAACUCACUAAAGAUGCCCAACAUGCCUUGCGCAGAACCAUGGAAAAGUAUAUGUCCACCUGCAGAUUGAUCUUGUGCUGCAAUUCUACAUCCAAAGUGAUACCACCUAUUCGUAGUAGGUGCCUGGCAGUUCGUGUGCCUGCUCCCAGCAUUGAAGAUAUUUGCCAUGUGUUAUCUACUGUGUGUAAGAAGGAAGGUCUGAAUCUUCCUUCACAGCUGGCUCGUAGACUUGCAGAGAAGUCCUGCAGAAAUCUCAGAAAAGCCCUGCUUAUGUGUGAAGCCUGCAGAGUGCAACAAUAUCCUUUUACUGAAGAUCAAGAAAUCCCUGAAACAGAUUGGGAGGUGUAUCUGAGGGAGACUGCCAAUGCUAUUGUCAGUCAGCAGACUCCACAAAGGCUCCUUGAAGUUCGUGGAAGACUCUAUGAGCUUCUAACUCAUUGUAUUCCUCCUGAAAUAAUAAUGAAGGGCCUUCUUUCAGAACUUUUGCAUAAUUGUGAUGGACAGCUGAAAGGGGAAGUGGCCCAAAUGGCAGCUUACUAUGAACAUCGUCUACAACUGGGUAGCAAAGCCAUUUAUCACUUGGAAGCAUUUGUGGCCAAAUUUAUGGCACUUUAUAAGAAGUUCAUGGAGGAUGGAUUGGACGGCAUGAUAUUCUGACAUCUAUCAGUAAUUCUUCCUAAUAUUUCUCAGUAUCAGCAUUUACAUUCAGUUUAUAUUGGAAGAGCUGCAGAUUCUUGUGGGGACGACUUUUAGGCUACCUGCCACUAGACCCAGGAGGAAACUCAAAAGAGCAGAGACUGGUAGAGUGUGGUCUCAUGAAAAUUCUCCCGAGCAGACCGCCACAACUCUUGCU